rnacentral:rRNA from 1 species
GACGAACGCUGGCGGCGUGCUUAACACAUGCAAGUCGAACGGAAAGGCCCUGCUUUUGUGGGGUGCUCGAGUGGCGAACGGGUGAGUAACACGUGAGUAACCUGCCCUUGACUUUGGGAUAACUUCAGGAAACUGGGGCUAAUACCGGAUAGGAGCUCCUGCUGCAUGGUGGGGGUUGGAAAGUUUCGGCGGUUGGGGAUGGACUCGCGGCUUAUCAGCUUGUUGGUGGGGUAGUGGCUUACCAAGGCUUUGACGGGUAGCCGGCCUGAGAGGGGGACCGGCCACAUUGGGACUGAGAUACGGCCCAGACUCCUACGGGAGGCAGCAGUGGGGAAUAUUGCACAAUGGGCGGAAGCCCGAUGCAGCAACGCCGCGUGCGGGAUGACGGCCUUCGGGUUGUAAACCGCUUUCGCCUGUGACGAAGCGUGAGUGACGGUAAUGGGUAAAGAAGCACCGGCUAACUACGUG